UGGGAAUUUUGGACAAUGGGCGAAAGCCUGAUCCAGCCAUGCCGCGUGCAGGAUGAAGGCCUUCGGGUUGUAAACUGCUUUUGUACGGAACGAAAAGCCUCUUUCUAAUAAAGAGGGGUCAUGACGGUACCGUAAGAAUAAGCACCGGCUAACUACGUGCCAGCAGCCGCGGUAAUACGUAGGGUGCAAGCGUUAAUCGGAAUUACUGGGCGUAAAGCGUGCGCAGGCGGUUCUGUAAGACAGAGGUGAAAUCCCCGGGCUCAACCUGGGAAUUGCCUUUGUGACUGCAAGGCUGGAGUGCGGCAGAGGGGGAUGGAAUUCCGCGUGUAGCAGUGAAAUGCGUAGAUAUGCGGAGGAACACCGAUGGCGAAGGCAAUCCCCUGGGCCUGCACUGACGCUCAUGCACGAAAAGCGUGGGGAGCAAACAGGAUUAGAUACCCUGGUAGUCCACGCCCUAAACGAUGUCAACUGGUUGUUGGGUCUUCACUGACUCAGUAACGAAGCUAACGCGUGAAGUUGACCGCCUGGGGAGUAC
rnacentral:rRNA from 1 species